rnacentral:rRNA from 1 species
UUUGACGUUAGCGACAGAAGAAGCACCGGCUAACUCCGUGCCAGCAGCCGCGGUAAUACGGAGGGUGCGAGCGUUAAUCGGAAUUACUGGGCGUAAAGCGCAUGCAGGUGGUUUGUUAAGUCAGAUGUGAAAGCCCGGGGCUCAACCUCGGAAUUGCAUUUGAAACUGGCAGACUAGAGUACUGUAGAGGGGGGUAGAAUUUCAGGUGUAGCGGUGAAAUGCGUAGAGAUCUGAAGGAAUACCGGUGGCGAAGGCGGCCCCCUGGACAGAUACUGACACUCAGAUGCGAAAGCGUGGGGAGCAAACAGGAUUAGAUACCCUGGUAGUCCACGCCGUAAACGAUGUCUACUUGGAGGUUGUGGCCUUGAGCCGUGGCUUUCGGAGCUAACGCGUUAAGUAGACCGCCUGGGGAGUACGGUCGCAAGAUUAAAACUCAAAUGAAUUGACGGGGGCCCGCACAAGCGGUGGAGCAUGUGGUUUAAUUCGAUGCAACGCGAAGAACCUUACCUACUCUUGACAUCCAGAGAACUUUCCAGAGAUGGAUUGGUGCCUUCGGGAACUCUGAGACAGGUGCUGCAUGGCUGUCGUCAGCUCGUGUUGUGAAAUGUUGGGUUAAGUCCCGCAACGAGCGCAACCCUUAUCCUUGUUUGCCAGCGAGUAAUGUCGGGAACUCCAGGGAGACUGCCGGUGAUAAACCGGAGGAAGGUGGGGACGACGUCAAGUCAUCAUGGCCCUUACGAGUAGGGCUACACACGUGCUACAAUGGCGCAUACAGAGGGCAGCCAACUUGCGAAAGUGAGCGAAUCCCAAAAAGUGCGUCGUAGUCCGGAUUGGAGUCUGCAACUCGACUCCAUGAAGUCGGAAUCGCUAGUAAUCGUGGAUCAGAAUGCCACGGUGAAUACGUUCCCGGGCCUUGUACACACCGCCCGUCACACCAUGGGAGUGGGCUGCAAAAGAAGUAGGUAGUUUAACCUUCGGGGGGACGCUUACCACUUUGUGGUUCAUGACUGGGGUGAAGUCGUAACAAGGUAGCGCUAGGGGA